AGUUAUUCUAGACUCAUGUGUGUAUCUGAUAUCACCUCUAACAUCAGUUCUCAACCUUUGAGUCAGAAGGUCGGCCGUCAGCGUGGCCCAGUCUCCGCCAUAACACAAACUGCAACCAGCUCCACUCUGUUGCUGUCUCUGGAUUCCAGGGAAGAGUAGAUGUUCGUAUCUCCAUCGAUGAUGAAUACACCAAAUUAUAUU